rnacentral:tRNA from 1 species
GGAAGGAUGUCCGAGAGGCUGAAGGAGCACGCUUGGAAAGCGUGUAAUGGUGUAUAAUCAUUCGCGGGUUCGAAUCCCGUUCCUUCCU